rnacentral:rRNA from 1 species
UACAGAGGUCUCAAGCGUUGUUCGGAUUCAUUGGGCGUAAAGGGUGCGUAGGUGGCGCCGUAAGUCGGGUGUGAAAUUUCGGAGCUUAACUCCGAAACUGCAUUCGAUACUGCGGUGCUUGAGGACUGGAGAGGAGACUGGAAUUCAUGGUGUAGCAGUGAAAUGCGUAGAGAUCAUGAGGAAGACCAGUGGCGAAGGCGGGUCUCUGGACAGUUCCUGACGCUGAGGCACGAAAGCGUGGGGAGCAAACAGG